rnacentral:rRNA from 1 species
UGGGGAAUAUUGGACAAUGGGCGCAAGCCUGAUCCAGCCAUGCCGCGUGAGUGAUGAAGGCCCUAGGGUUGUAAAGCUCUUUCACCGGUGAAGAUAAUGACGGUAACCGGAGAAGAAGCCCCGGCUAACUUCGUGCCAGCAGCCGCGGUGAUACGAAGGGGGCUAGCGUUGUUCGGAUUUACUGGGCGUAAAGCGCACGUAGGCGGACUUUUAAGUCAGGGGUGAAAUCCCGGGGCUCAACCCCGGAACUGCCUUUGAUACUGGAAGUCUUGAGUAUGGUAGAGGUGAGUGGAAUUCCGAGUGUAGAGGUGAAAUUCGUAGAUAUUCGGAGGAACACCAGUGGCGAAGGCGGCUCACUGGACCAUUACUGACGCUGAGGUGCGAAAGCGUGGGGAGCAACCAGG